rnacentral:rRNA from 1 species
UACGUAGGGUGCAAGCGUUGUCCGGAAUUAUUGGGCGUAAAGAGCUCGUAGGCGGUCUGUCGCGUCUGGUGUGAAAACUCAAGGCUUAACCUUGGGCCUGCAUCGGGUACGGGCAGACUAGAGUGCGGUAGGGGAGACUGGAAUUCCAGGUGUAGCGGUGAAAUGCGUAGAUAUCUGGAGGAACACCGGUGGCGAAGGCGGCAUCCUGGACCGGCAUUGACGCUGAGGAGCGAAAGCCAGGGGAGCAAAGCGGGGAUUAAGAAACCCGUGG